rnacentral:rRNA from 1 species
ACGCUCGACACCUACGGGAGGCAGCAGUUGGGAAUAUUGGACAAUGGAGGAAACUCUGAUCCAGUGACGCCGCGUGAAGGAAGAAGGUCUUCGGAUUGUAAACUUAUUUUGUCAGGGAAGAAACAAAUGACUGUACCUGAAGAAAAAGCACCGGCUAACUACGUACCAGCAGCCGCGGUAAUCUGAGCGGGCUGGCAAGGC